CACCCUCAGAAACACUCAGCUGAUGGAGCCGGUUGAAAUCAAAAGCACCCAGCCAGGAACUGUGGUUAAUACUUAACGUCAAACAUCAAACUUUGCCCUCCAGACCUCGGUCUAAGGCACAGCUUAGAAAAUUCAUAUUCUGGCCAGAUAUGGUGGCUCACUCCUGUAAUCCUAGCACUCCGGGAGGCCGAAGUGAGCAGACCACUAGAGGCCAGGAGUUCAAAACCAGCUUGGCCAACAUGGCAAAACCCCAUCUGCACUAAAAAUAUAAAACGUAGCCAGGCGCGGUGGUGCGUGCCUGUGGUCCCCGCUACUCGGGAGGCUGAGGCACGAGAAUCGCUUGAACCUGGGAGGCAGAGGUUGCAGUGAGCUGAGUCUGUGCCACUGCACUCCAGCCUGGGUGACAGAGUGAACUCUGUCUCAAAAAAAAAAAGAAAAUUCAUAUUCCAACAGGGAUGGUAACAGGAGAGCCCUCCGGGCAGCCAGCUGGCCUCACAGAGGCCAUCCAUCACUGGGGUGUCGGCUCCACUCGUGCCCUUCACAGCUGGGGGGUCACCCUGGGCUGACCUCCACUCCCAGUGCUGUGCCCAGCGGUGCCACGUCGGGAUGUGUCUGCAGUGCCCAAGGACGGCAGCCCUGGGAAGGCUCCCUGGUCCAAGGACCACAGGAUCCUUACGCUAAAGCAGUUGCGAUGAAACUCACCCUGACGGUGGAAACGACAGCUCAUCCUCACGGGUGUGGGACCAAGGACAGAACCAGGAGUCGCUGCUCUGCUCGCCGGAGGGAAACGCACACCUGACUGCUUCGCCCACCCUGUAUUGACUGUGUCCUGGCUCCUUCGCCCACCCCGUACUGAUUGUGUCGAAGGUAAAUGUGCAGAUUCACUGAGCGUGAGCCGUGAGGGGUUCUUCCUUUACCCCCAUGUGUAACACACGGGUUCAGUGAAUGCUGAUCAAACACUGCCUGCCUCUUAUCUGCCCUCCCUCUUCUUUCUCUUUCUUUCUUCCCCUAAUACUCACGCUUUACUCUCUGAAUAUUCAAGUUCUCAGCCUUCUUUGAGAAGAAAAGCUGGACCACAGGAGUUUCCCGUGGUUCUGUGUUAGGCGUAUCCUUAACCUCGGCAAAUAAACCUCUCAAGUGAU